rnacentral:rRNA from 2 species
AAAACGACUCUCGGCAACGGAUAUCUCGGCUCUCGCAUCGAUGAAGAACGUAGCAAACUGCGAUACUUGGUGUGAAUUGCAGAAUCCCGUGAAUCAUCGAGUCUUUGAACGCAAGUUGCGCCCGAAGCCAUUAGGCCGAGGGCACGUCUGCCUGGGCGUCACGA